GAUGAACGCUGGCGGCGUGCUUAACACAUGCAAGUCGAACGGAAAGGCUCCUGCUUGCAGGGGUACUCGAGUGGCGAACGGGUGAGUAACACGUGGGUGAUCUGCCCUGCACUUCGGGAUAAGCCUGGGAAACUGGGUCUAAUACCGGAUAGGACGAUGGUUUGGAUGCCAUUGUGGAAAGUUUUUCGGUGUGGGAUGAGCUCGCGGCCUAUCAGCUUGUUGGUGGGGUAAUGGCCUACCAAGGCGUCGACGGGUAGCCGGCCUGAGAGGGUGUACGGCCACAUUGGGACUGAGAUACGGCCCAGACUCCUACGGGAGGCAGCAGUGGGGAAUAUAGCACAAUGGGCGCAAGCCUGAUGCAGCGACGCCGCGUGGGGGAUGACGGCCUUCGGGUUGUAAACUCCUUUCGCUAGGGACGAAGCGCAAGUGACGGUACCUGGAGAAGAAGCACCGGCUAACUACGUG
rnacentral:rRNA from 1 species